UGGGGAAUAUUGGACAAUGGGCGAAAGCCUGAUCCAGCCAUGCCGCGUGUGUGAAGAAGGUCUUCGGAUUGUAAAGCACUUUAAGUUGGGAGGAAGGGCAGUUACCUAAUACGUAUCUGUUUUGACGUUACCGACAGAAUAAGCACCGGCUAACUCUGUGCCAGCAGCCGCGGUAAUACAGAGGGUGCAAGCGUUAAUCGGAAUUACUGGGCGUAAAGCGCGCGUAGGUGGUUUGUUAAGUUGGAUGUGAAAUCCCCGGGCUCAACCUGGGAACUGCAUUCAAAACUGACUGACUAGAGUAUGGUAGAGGGUGGUGGAAUUUCCUGUGUAGCGGUGAAAUGCGUAGAUAUAGGAAGGAACACCAGUGGCGAAGGCGACCACCUGGACUGAUACUGACACUGAGGUGCGAAAGCGUGGGGAGCAAACAGGAUUAGAUACCCAAGUAGUCCCUGAGCGGGCUGGCAAGGCGCAU
rnacentral:rRNA from 1 species